rnacentral:rRNA from 1 species
UACGGGGGGAGCAAGCGUUGUUCGGAUUUACUGGGCGUAAAGGGCGGGUAGGCGGCCACCGCAAGUCAGUUGUGAAAUCUCUGGGCUUAACCCAGAAAGGUCAACUGAUACUGCGGGGCUAGAGUGCAGAAGGGGCAACUGGAAUUCUCGGUGUAGCGGUGAAAUGCGUAGAUAUCGAGAGGAACACCUGCGGCGAAGGCGAUCUUCUGGACGGAUACUGACGCUGGAGGCGCGAAAGCUAGGGGAGCAAACGGG